rnacentral:rRNA from 1 species
CCUACGGGAGGCAGCAGUGAGGAAUAUUGGUCAAUGGGCGCGAGCCUGAACCAGCCAAGUCGCGUGAAGGAUGACUGCCCUACGGGUUGUAAACCUCUUUUAUACAGGAAUAAUGUGCGUCACGAGUGCCUUGUUGCGUGUACCUUAUGAAUAAGCAUCGGCUAACUCCGUGCCAGCAGCCGCGGUAAUACGGAGGAUGCGAGCGUUAUCCGGAUUUAUUGGGUUUAAAGGGUGCGUAGGCGGGUUGUUAAGUUAGUUGUGAAAGUUUGGGGCUCAACCCUAGAAUUGCAAUUGAUACUGGCAGGCUUGAGUACAGAUGAGGUAGGCGGAAUAAGUGGAGUAGCGGUGAAAUGCUUAGAUAUGACGAAGAACUCCGAUUGCGAAGGCAGCUUACUAGGCUGACACUGACGUUGAUGCUCGAGAGUGUGGGUAUCGAACAGGAUUAGAUACCCUAGUAGUC